UAUUAGACCUCUCACACGAUUGAAGUCAAAUGCUUCAAAUCUGUAGGCAGGGUCAGCACACGAUAGAGAAGUUUCCAAAGGGAAGAUCCCAUCCUCUACAAUGGAGAAGAGUCAGUUGAACUAGGAUCAGAAGUGAGUCGUCAGCAAGCGAAAGCGAUUGAAACAGAGCAAUAGAACAGGGUGUGUAAAUACCAUGAAGAAGAAGCCGGUUGGAUGUUCAACACCCAAGUUCUCGAGUAGAAACAUGGCCCUGACUCAAUGCGGGACACUAUUUAGGAACCUCCAAGCAAAUGCCGCAAACUGUGAUAGUGUCAUGUGCAUGUAAUGGUUUCUAUUGUGUUUUGAAGUUAUGUUAAAAUCCAGUGAUUACGUUUCAGUAAAAUUAGUAACC